GCAUAAUAACUUGGCCAUUAAUUGUGGGCUAGAAUGAAUGGAAAAACGAAGUAAUAGCUGUCUCUAAUAGUUCAAUAAAAAAUAAUAUUUUAGUGAAGAAGCUAAAAUAAAUUCACAGGACAAGAAGACCCUAUAGAGCUUUAUUUAUAAUAUACAACAUAAGUAUAAAAAAAUUCAGUUGGGGCGACUAAGGAAUAAAUCAUCCUAAUUUUAUAAGAUUAACAAAUCAAACAAAAGAUCCUAAAUAUAGAUCAAAGAAAUUAGCUACCUUAGGGAUAACAGGCUAAUUCUCCUGGAAAGUCCAAAUUUAUAGGAGAGU
rnacentral:rRNA from 1 species